CAGCAGCCGCGGUAAUACGUAGGGUGCAAGCGUUAAUCGGAAUUACUGGGCGUAAAGCGUGCGCAGGCGGUCCGCUAAGACAGAUGUGAAAUCCCCGGGCUUAACCUGGGAACUGCAUUUGUGACUGGCGGGCUAGAGUAUGGCAGAGGGGGGUAGAAUUCCACGUGUAGCAGUGAAAUGCGUAGAGAUGUGGAGGAAUACCGAUGGCGAAGGCAGCCCCCUGGGCCAAUACUGACGCUCAUGCACGAAAGCGUGGGGAGCAAACAGGAUUAGAGACCCGCGUAGUCCCUGUCUCUUAUAC
rnacentral:rRNA from 1 species